GAAGGCAUAGCCUAGCGGUAGCGUGUGUGCUUGGAGUGCAGGUGGGCAUGGGUUCGAUCCCCCCUGGCGCA
rnacentral:tRNA from 1 species